CACGUAUUUAGCCGGAGCUUCUUUUUCAGGUACCGUCACUUUCUUCCCUGCUGAUAGAGCUUUACAUAACGAAUUACUUCUUCACUCACGCGGCGUCGCUGCAUCAGAGUCCCCUCCAUUGUGCAAUAUUCCCCACUGCUGCCUCCCGUAGGAGUCUGGGCCGUGUCUCAGUCCCAAUGUGGCCGUCCACCCUCUCAGGCCGGCUACUGAUCGUUGCCUUGGUGUGCUUUUACCACUCCAACUAGCUAAUCAGACGCGGGUCCAUCUCAUACCAGAUUUCUCCUUUUCACACAAAAACAUGCGUCCUCGUGCGCUUAUGCGGUUUUACCACCAGUUUCCCGAUGCUAUCCCCCUGUAUGAGGCAGGUUGCCCACGCGUUACUCACCCGUCCGCCACUAAGAUAGUUCUCUUUCACCUCGAAAAGCUUCCAAGCAAUAUCUCCGUUCGACUUGCAUGUGUUAGGCACGCCGCCAGCGUUCAUCCUGAGCCAGGUA
rnacentral:rRNA from 1 species